UACGGAAGGCAGCAGUGGGGAAUAUUGCACAAUGGGCGCAAGCCUGAUGCAGCCAUGCCGCGUGUAUGAAGAAGGCCUUCGGGUUGUAAAGUACUUUCAGUCGUGAGGAAGGUGUUAAGGUUAAUAACCUUAGCAAUUGACGUUAGCGACAGAAGAAGCACCGGCUAACUCCGUGCCAGCAGCCGCGGUAAUAUGGAGGGUGCGAGCGUUAAUCGGAAUUACUGGGCGUAAAGGGCACGCAGGCGGUUAAUUAAGUUGGAUGUGAAAUCCCCGGGCUUAACCUGGGAAUGGCAUUCAAGACUGGUUAGCUAGAGUCUUGUAGAGGGGGUAGAAUUCCAUGUGUAGCGGUGAAAUGCGUAGAGAUGUGGAGGAAUACCGGUGGCGAAGGCGGCCCCUGGACAAGACUGACGCUCAUGUGCGAAAGCGUGGGGAGCAAACAGGAUUAGGAUACC
rnacentral:rRNA from 1 species